rnacentral:rRNA from 1 species
UACGUAGGGUGCGAGCGUUGUCCGGAAUUACUGGGCGUAAAGAGCUCGUAGGUGGUUUGUCGCGUCGUCUGUGAAAUUCCGGGGCUUAACUCCGGGCGUGCAGGCGAUACGGGCAUAACUUGAGUACUGUAGGGGAGACUGGAAUUCCUGGUGUAGCGGUGAAAUGCGCAGAUAUCAGGAGGAACACCGGUGGCGAAGGCGGGUCUCUGGGCAGUAACUGACGCUGAGGAGCGAAAGCAUGGGUAGCGAACAGGAUUAGAUAC